UGAGGACAAAAACUCGUGAGAAAUGGUGCCACUAUUAAUUCACCCUUUAUCAUGUGGGUUGUACUUAUUUUGCGUAACACACUAAUACACGUUUAUUUCACAACACGUUACUGAUUUUGAACAAUUUCACAAAUUGUUGCACGGAUCGGUAUUUGUGAGCGAAUUAAUAUGUACCGGCAAGCUGCUUGCUACGACACGCUCGCAAAAAAAAAAACACGAGGAAGCAACGCUUCAAAAGAAAUCUAGUUUUCGUGUUGCAAAAACGUCUUCAUCUGCAUCCGAAGGGCCGUCAUCGUACUGAGUGUUAAACGUUUGCCGGAGGUGUUCCCCAUCGUCGGCACCGGCUGUUAGCUGCCGGGCACCCAACAGCAUCCCUCGAGGAGCCAGGAGUCAACAAAACAACUCACCAUCGCAUCAUCCCAAGUUGUCCGGUGCUCCAACCCGCAAAUAUUCUUGGCGAGAUUUGUGUUCCGCCGCUUAUUGGACAUCGCACACCACACCGAAAAAACGAAAUCUUGAAGGUUAUAAAAAACCGUUUUGCGGAACGCCUCACCAGAUCAGCGGUUCUUCCGGCAGAUGAAGGAAGAAUCCCCAGGAAAAGGAGAAUCUGCAAAAAUGCCAACGAAGGACGGAUCUUUAUCGGCAAAUUGUAUAGCGAUUCUGAAUACCAUCCUGGAGGAAAAGUCAGCCAACAAGGUACACCUGCAAUCGGAGGCAAACCUCAACUAUGACCUGUCCGUCUUGUGUCCGUCCGUAAGAAGGAAGUGCAUGACCUCGUCGAAACGAAAUUCCCUAAAGCAAUGCCGGAAAGCAAAGAAAAGGAGGUGAAAGACGACGAAGAAGACUCGGAAGCUGGGAAGGAAAAUUAGGAUUCUUCGGCCAAACGUGGAAUGUCUGAGUAGAAGGUUGUGCCAGUGACGAAAACGUUGCGGGUUCGGUUCGGAUGAUCAGAGACAGCCAGGGACAAAAUAGCCCCAGGAGUGAAUUUAUAAAGUAUGCCAAAAUCCCGGGUAAAAUAUGUUUAAUUGAAAUAAAUUCACAAUUAUUAUAGUUGUUCAUUCUUCAAAGCAAUUUGAUAUUUUCUGGUAAACUUUCAGAGGUAAACAAUUUUCAUAACGAUUUGCAAUAAAAUUGGAUAAUGCGGAUUUGAAUUUUAGCAGCAUUGGAAAUGGCUGAUAUUUCUUGUAAAUCGUUAAGGAAAUUGUUUACUUGUGAAAGCUUUUACUAGAAAAUAGCUAAUUGAAUUAUUUAUUUAAAUUGUUUUAACAUAAUCAAGCAAUACAGUAUGCUGUUCAUUUAAAUAUAUUGCACAAUAAAUGAACAAUCUCACUUAAAUUAUUAGUUCCACCAUAUUUCGACAAUUUGGUUUGCAGUUCUCGUUGCGAAAACUGAACAAUAUAUCUACAACAUGGCUCAUUGUUUUGCAAAAAUUUUGUUCGAGAAAAAUGCUGAUUUUUUAUGGUAACCUAACUUAACAGCCUAUUCGCCAUAUAGUGAUUUGGCCCAUUACAAUAUGCCAAAUGGUAUACUACAACAAACUAACACUACCACUUGAUGUGGAGACAGAUUACAUGUGAUAUUGUUCAGGCAUUGUAUCAAAUUGUUGUGAACAAUAUGUGAGAUAGUGUGCUUACAAUUCACAACUAUGCGGGAUAACAACUCAUGAGAAAACUGUCAAGUUCGAUUCAAGUAUAAGUUAGGUUAAAAAGCGAACCCGCAGACGAACCUAUAUUAAAAGUCAUUUCAGUGUUCAGUCCAGUAUAAUGUGUUAAAGAUGGCUCUAGGUCAAAGAUAAAGUUUGUCAAUCGCAUUUGAUUCGAUUGUGGUCGAAGGCAAGUUCACAUGAGAGAAGAGGAGAAAAUUCCCCUAAAUGCAAAUACAGAAAUAAUAGUGUUGAACUCAUCCACUGAUUUACGGUAAUCUGACCUGCAUCAUUCCGGGUUGGCCUACAUUCGUAUUUCUCUCAUCGCACUCUACACACCUAGCCCGCCAUAUCUCUUGGACCCCUGCUUGGACCUGCAGUUCUUAGAAUAGGACAUUUGGUUUACCACUGAUUUAAACAUGUUAUUGAUUUUCAAUAGGCUCCUAAAGUCCUAUCGGGAUUCUUGUUUUAAACCACAAUAUAUGGUUCAAGAGUACAUAUUUACUCAUUUUUUUGACAUUUUUAUUAACCAUAGUUGAAAAUAUAUAAUUUUUAUUUUUUUAGCCUUUUGUCUCGUCCCUAGCUUAUAACACAUACUUUGAGUGAUUUUUUUCACCGUGUAUUUAUGUCAGAUAGGAACAUUUUUGAAAUCCCAGUGCGAAAAAUGUCGAGCUCAGUCACACAAGGUUGACCUCAAAUGUCAAAGUAGACCUAUUUACCAUUUUACUUAUUUCGAAUUUUCUCAUUAUUCCUUUGUUUUUCAAGUUCGAGUUAAGUACAAUUCCGAUUAAAAUACCAUGCUUGAUCGUAUUAUUCAAUAUAAGCGAGAUUUCGUCUUUAAUUUUAGGACCCUAUUGAUGUUUCAACUUAUUCACUUUUUUCUCUUUCCUAUGAAAGCUUUCCUUUGCAUCAAAAAAGUCACAAACAUCAACAAAACAAAGCACGGAAAAAAUGUUAAACUAAAUAAAUCUGGUGUUCGAUUUGAAUAGGUCGAAUCUGCAUAUGAAUCACAGCAAACAUACGACCUAUUCAAAUCGAACACCAGAAAUAAUUAAAAAUUCACGGAAAAAUAAUGUUUCGGAAAAGUGAAUGGUUCAAACGUAAGAAAAACAGUAUAAUAUAUUGUUACAUAAAAAUCCAAUGUAAAUGUAUAGUAUAGCGAACCAUUUCAUCACAAUACACUUUAUUGUAGCUGGUACACUGUAUGGUUUCACCAUACACCCUAUGGUUAGUUUUUAUCCGGGGGGUUCAGAAAUCCCGAAAAACGAUGGACGUAAUAAAUGAAUCUUCCCUUUGCUUGAGAGUUGCGAAGUCAUCUCAUGCGAAGCUAAUGUCAAAGCUAAAACAAUGAGCCAUUUUACGAGACGUUUCGGAUCAGCUGAUCGCUCAUUUCAUGAAUGAAAAUUUGACAGGAGGUUGCGCCCAAGCCCGUGAGUGUUAAUAUCAAUAUCAACACUGUUGUCGUUUCGUAAAAUAGACUAUGGACUGACGGCGGCGUCAUCGUAACGACGUCCUCAAACCGUAAGCAAACAGGUCAAUGGGACGCCUUACACACCAAUCUAAACAGGGCAAUUUUCACGAAAACAUUGUUCAGCAAGGAAUUUAGAAAUUUUAUUUGCACAAAUUUCACUCUAUACUGUUUUAUUUUUGUUUAUUAUGAACAUUACUGUUAUGAAUUAAAAGGAAAAAUAUUUCAGCAAUGUAAAUGCGCUUAAAUUUCCUUGUUUUUUUUUGGUGUAAAACAUUUCCACAUUCUUUUACUUACAUUUAGGUACUUUAUCGCCAAAGUGCAUACAGGGUGUUAGGUUCGUGAGUGCAAACUUUUUAAAGGGUGAUUUUUUCCGCAGUUAAGUUAGCAGAUUGUGAACAAUCCUCGGUACCCACUUACGUAAUUUAUGUUUAGUUCCUUACUGUCGGAGCUAUCAGAUCGGUGUAACACGCUAAAUAUAAUUUAUACAAAAGGCAAUAGGGUCCUAAAAUUAAAGACGAAAUCUCGCUUAUAUUGAAUAAUACGAUCAAGCAUGGUAUUCUAAUCGGAAAUGUACUUUAUUCGAACUUGAAAAACAAAGGAAUAACGGGGGGAGCGACACUAGUUUUGCCAAGCCGA